UUAUGGAGAGUUUGAUCCUGGCUCAGAGUGAACGCUGGCGGCGUGCUUAACACAUGCAAGUCGAACGGUAACAGAGACUUCGGUCUGCUGACGAGUGGCGCACGGGUGAGUAAUAUAUAGUUAAUGUGCCUUCAAGACCGGGAUAGCCAUUGGAAACGAUGAUUAAUACUGGAUAUACCUACUAAUCAUAAGUUUAGUAGGGAAACGUUUUUUCGCUUGAAGAUCAGACUAUAUCCCAUCAGCUUGUUGGUGAGGUAAGAGCUCACCAAGGCAAUGACGGGUAGCGGGUUUGAGAGGAUGAUCCGCCACACUGGUACUGAGACACGGACCAGACUCCUACGGGAGGCAGCAGUGAGGAAUAUU
rnacentral:rRNA from 1 species